rnacentral:rRNA from 1 species
UACCGGCAGCUCGAGUGAUGGCCGAUUUUAUGGGGCCUAAAGCGUCCGUAGCUGGCCCUGCAAGUCCGUCGGGAAACCCACUCGCCUAACGAGUGGGCGUCCGGCGGAAACUACAGGGUUGGGGACCGGAAGACUUGAGGGGUACGUCUGGGGUGGGAUGGAAAUCCUGUAAUCCUGGACGGACCGCCGAUGGCGAAAGCACCUCAAGACGACGGAUCCGACAGUGAGGGACGAAAGCUAGGGUCUCGAACCGG